rnacentral:rRNA from 1 species
UACAGAGGUCCCAAGCGUUGUUCGGAUUCACUGGGCGUAAAGGGUGCGUAGGUGGCGAGGUAAGUCGGAUGUGAAAGCUCGGAGCUCAACUCCGAAAUGGCAUUGGAAACUACCUUGCUCGAGGGUUGGAGGGGGGACUGGAAUUCUCGGUGUAGCAGUGAAAUGCGUAGAUAUCGAGAGGAACACCAGUGGCGAAGGCGAGUCUCUGGACGACUCCUGACACUGAGGCACGAAAGCUAGGGGAGCAAACAGG